rnacentral:rRNA from 1 species
UAGGGAAUCUUCGGCAAUGGGGGGAACCCUGACCGAGCAACGCCGCGUGAGUGAAGAAGGUUUUCGGAUCGUAAAGCUCUGUUGUUAAGGAAGAACGAGUGUGAGAAUGGAAAGUUCAUACUGUGACGGUACUUAACCAGAAAGGGACGGCUAACUACGUGCCAGCAGCCGCGGUAAUACGUAGGUCCCGAGCGUUGUCCGGAUUUAUUGGGCGUAAAGCGAGCGCAGGCGGUUAGAUAAGUCUGAAGUUAAAGGCAGUGGCUCAACCAUUGUAGGCUUUGGAAACUGUUUAACUUGAGUGCAGAAGGGGACAGUGGAAUUCCAUGUGUAGCGGUGAAAUGCGUAGAUAUAUGGAGGAACACCGGUGGCGAAAGCGGCUCUCUGGUCUGUAACUGACGCUGAGGCUCGAAAGCGUGGGGAGCGAACAGG